GAGACUGCAAAGUGGAGCGAAACCCAGAAAAGUACUCUCAGUUCAGAUUGUGGGCUGCAACCCGCCCACAUGAAGUUGGAGUUGCUAGUAAUCGCGGAUCAGCAUGCCGCGGUGAAUACGUUCCCGGGCCUUGUACACACCGCCCGUCACACCAUGGGAGUUGGGAGCGCCCGAAGCCGGUGAGGUAACCGAGAGGAGCCAGCCGUCGAAGGUGAGACCAAUGACUGGGGUGAAGUCGUAACAAGGUAAC
rnacentral:rRNA from 1 species